AUUGAACGCUGGCGGCAGGCUUAACACAUGCAAGUCGAGCGGGGUGAUGGUGCUUGCACUAUCACUUAGCGGCGGACGGGUGAGUAAUGCUUAGGAAUCUGCCUAUUAGUGGGGGACAACAUCUCGAAAGGGAUGCUAAUACCGCAUACGUCCUACGGGAGAAAGCAGGGGAUCACUUGUGACCUUGCGCUAAUAGAUGAGCCUAAGUCGGAUUAGCUAGUUGGUGGGGUAAAGGCCUACCAAGGCGACGAUCUGUAGCGGGUCUGAGAGGAUGAUCCGCCAAAAUGGGACUGAGACACGGCCCAGACUCCGACGGGAGGCAGCAGUGGGGAAUAUUGGACAAUGGGGGGAACCCUGAUCCAGCCAUGCCGCGUGUGUGAAGAAGGCCUUUUGGUUGUAAAGCACUUUAAGCGAGGAGGAGGCUACCGAGAUUAAUACUCUUGGAUAGUGGACGUUACUCGCAGAAUAAGCACCGGCUAACUCUGUGCCAGCCGCCGCGGUAA
rnacentral:rRNA from 1 species